GACGAACGCUGGCGGCGUGCUUAACACAUGCAAGUCGAACGGAAAGGCCCUGCUUUUGUGGGGUGCCCGAGUGGCGAACGGGUGAGUAACACGUGAGUAACCUGCCCUUGACUUUGGGAUAACUUCAGGAAACUGGGGCUAAUACCGGAUAGGAGCUCCUGCUGCAUGGUGGGGGUUGGAAAGUUUCGGCGGUUGGGGAUGGACUCGGGGCUUAUCAGCUUGUUGGUGGGGUAGUGGCUUACCAAGGCUUUGACGGGUAGCCGGCCUGGGAGGGUGACCGGCCACAUUGGGACUGAGAGACGGCCCAGACUCCUACGGGAGGCAGCAGUGGGGAAUAUUGCACAAUGGGCGGAAGCCUGAUGCAGCAACGCCGCGUGCGGGAUGACGGCCUUCGGGUUGUAAACCGCUUUCGCCUGUGACGAAGCGUGAGUGACGGUAAUGGGUAAAGAAGCACCGGCUAACUACGUG
rnacentral:rRNA from 1 species